rnacentral:rRNA from 1 species
GGGAGGCAGCAGUGGGGAAUAUUGGACAAUGGGCGCAAGCCUGAUCCAGCCAUGCCGCGUGAGUGAUGAAGGCCUUAGGGUUGUAAAGCUCUUUUGUCCGGGACGAUAAUGACGGUACCGGAAGAAUAAGCCCCGGCUAACUUCGUGCCAGCAGCCGCGGUAAUACGAAGGGGGCUAGCGUUGCUCGGAAUCACUGGGCGUAAAGGGCGCGUAGGCGGCCAUUCAAGUCGGGGGUGAAAGCCUGUGGCUCAACCACAGAAUUGCCUUCGAUACUGUUUGGCUUGAGUAUGGUAGAGGUCGGUGGAACUGCGAGUGUAGAGGUGAAAUUCGUAGAUAUUCGCAAGAACACCAGUGGCGAAGGCGGCCGACUGGACCAUUACUGACGCUGAGGCGCGAAAGCGUGGGGAGCAAACAGGAUUAGAUACCCUGGUAGU